rnacentral:rRNA from 1 species
GGCCAGACUCCUACGGGAGGCAGCAGUGGGGGAUAUUGCACAAUGGGGGGAACCCUGAUGCAGCGACGCCGCGUGGGUGAAGAAGCGCCUCGGCGCGCAAAGCCCUGUCAGCAGGGAAGAAAAUGACGGUACCUGAAGAAGAAGCCCCGGCUAACUACGUGCCAGCAGCCGCGGUAAUACGUAGGGGGCAAGCGUUAUCCGGAUUUACUGGGUGUAAAGGGGGCGCAGACGGCGAUGCAAGCCAGGAGUGAAAGCCCGGGGCCCAACCCCGGGACUGCUCUUGGAACUGCGUGGCUGGAGUGCAGGAGGGGCAGGCGGAAUUCCUGGUGUAGCGGUGAAAUGCGUAGAUAUCAGGAGGAACACCGGUGGCGAAGGCGGCCUGCUGGACUGCAACUGACGUUGAGGCCCGAAAGCGUGGGGAGCAAACAGGAUUAGAUACCCUUGUACG